rnacentral:rRNA from 1 species
UACGUAGGGUGCGAGCGUUAAUCGGAAUUACUGGGCGUAAAGCGUGCGCAGGCGGUUUUGUAAGUCAGGUGUGAAAUCCCCGGGCUUAACCUGGGAACUGCGUUUGAAACUACAAGGCUAGAGUGUGGCAGAGGGGGGUGGAAUUCCACGUGUAGCAGUGAAAUGCGUAGAGAUGUGGAGGAACACCGAUGGCGAAGGCAGCCCCCCGGGUUAACACUGACGCUCAGGCACGAAAGCGUGGGGAGCAAACAGG